AUGUUCACAGGAGAUGACCUGCACGUCCCCAGGAGAAAAACGAGCGCACUGCGGGGCAACCACAGAGCAGAACGCCCUCAGCCGUGCCGAGGAGCAAAUGCUGACACACACAUGCUGGGAGAGACUCAUCAACCUCGUGCCGUGGGAGGCAAGCUGGACAGAAAACAAAACACGUGGGACGAUUUCAGCCACGAUGAACCUAUGAUGAAAAAACCAGAACAGUGGUUGCCUCGGGCUUGUUAUAAGACCAGCAGUAGCUGCUGCAUGGUAGAUAAUCGGGAUCUUCUGGGUUUGGAGGUUUACAACAUAAAUGAGUGGGUAAGAGGAAAAGAAUGAUGAUAGUCACGUGUUCACAGAGGAAGCAGUGUAACUGUGGGAACCAGUCCAAACCAAAGCCUGGUUUAAACAUCUCCAUCCCUUUGAGGAUGUCCAGUGACAUAUUCAAGAGGCAGGUUACUAGAAUCCCAUCCCAUCCUGGCAAUGAAGGGGCUCUGGGUGGACACCUUGGACCAGCCCCACCAGGUCUGCUGGCCCGAGAGACCACAAGGACUCCAGGCCUGCAGCAGUGCAGGACAACUGGUAAGUCCUUUCAAUCUUGCCAAAGCG